UCUUAAAUAGCUCAAUUAUAAGAGUAAAUUCUUGAAGAGAAUUUGGUGAUAUAUU
rnacentral:tRNA from 1 species